CAAGGCUGAGGUGUGAUGACGAGGCACUACGGUGCUGAAGUAACAAAUGCCCUGCUUCCAGGAAAAGCCUCUAAGCAUCAGGUAACAUCAAAUCGUACCCCAAACCGACACAGGUGGUCAGGUAGAGAAUACCAAGGCGCUUGAGAGAACUCGGGUGAAGGAACUAGGCAAAAUGGUGCCGUAACUUCGGGAGAAGGCACGCUGGUGUGUAGGUGAAGCCCCUGCGGAUGGAGCUGAGACCAGUCGAAGAUACCAGCUGGCUGCAACUGUUUAUUAAAAACACAGCACUGUGCAAACACGAAAGUGGACGUAUACGGUGUGACGCCUGCCCGGUGCCGGAAGGUUAAUUGAUGGGGUUAUCCGUAAGGAGAAGCUCUUGAUCGAAGCCCCGGUAAACGGCGGCCGUAACUAUAACGGUCCUAAGGUAGCGAAAUUCCUUGUCGGGUAAGUUCCGACCUGCACGAAUGGCGUAAUGAUGGCCAGGCUGUCUCCACCCGAGACUCAGUGAAAUUGAACUCGCUGUGAAGAUGCAGUGUACCCGCGGCAAGACGGAAAGACCCCGUGAACCUUUACUAUAGCUUGACACUGAACAUUGAGCCUUGAUGUGUAGGAUAGGUGGGAGGCUUUGAAGCGUGGACGCCAGUCUGCGUGGAGCCAACCUUGAAAUACCACCCUUUAAUGUUUGAUGUUCUAACGUUGGCCCCUGACCGGGGUUGCGGACAGUGUCUGGUGGGUAGUUUGACUGGGGCGGUCUCCUCCCAAAGCGUAACGGAGGAGCACGAAGGUUAGCUAAUCCUGGUCGGACAUCAGGAGGUUAGUGCAAUGGCAUAAGCUAGCUUGACUGCGAGCGUGACGGCGCGAGCAGGUGCGAAAGCAGGUCAUAGUGAUCCGGUGGUUCUGAAUGGAAGGGCCAUCGCUCAACGGAUAAAAGGUACUCCGGGGAUAACAGGCUGAUACCGCCCAAGAGUUCAUAUCGACGGCGGUGUUUGGCACCUCGAUGUCGGCUCAUCACAUCCUGGGGCUGAAGUAGGUCCCAAGGGUAUGGCUGUUCGCCAUUUAAAGUGGUACGCGAGCUGGGUUUAGAACGUCGUGAGACAGUUCGGUCCCUAUCUGCCGUGGGCGCUGGAGAAUUGAGGGGGGCUGCUCCUAGUACGAGAGGACCGGAGUGGACGCAUCACUGGUGUUCGGGUUGUCAUGCCAAUGGCACUGCCCGGUAGCUAAAUGCGGAAGAGAUAAGUGCUGAAAGCAUCUAAGCACGAAACUUGCCCCGAGAUGAGUUCUCCCUGAGACUAUAAGUCUCCUGAAGGAACGUUAAAGACGAUGACGUUGAUAGGCCGGGUGUGUAAGCGCAGCGAUGCGUUGAGCUAACCGGUACUAAUGAACCGUGAGGCUUAACCUU
rnacentral:rRNA from 1 species